CCUACGGGUGGCAGCAGUGAGGAAUAUUGGUCAAUGGACGAGAGUCUGAACCAGCCAAGUCGCGUGAAGGAUGACUGCCCUAUGGGUUGUAAACUUCUUUUAUAAAGGAAUAAAACGAGGCACGUGUGCCUUUUUGUAUGUACUUUAUGAAUAAGAAUCGGCUAACUCCGUGCCAGCAGCCGCGGUAAUACGGAGGAUCCGAGCGUUAUCCGGAUUUAUUGGGUUUAAAGGGAGCGUAGAUGGGUUGUUAAGUCAGUUGUGAAAGUUUGCGGCUCAACCGUAAAAUUGCAAUUGAUACUGGCAGUCUUGAGUACAGUUGAGGUAAGCGGAAUUCGUGGUGUAGCGGUGAAAUGCUUAGAUAUCACGAAGAACCCCGAUUGCGAAGGCAGCUUACUAAACUGUGACUGACACUGAUGCUCGAAAGUGUGGGUAUCAAACAGGAUUAGAUACCCCAGUAGUC
rnacentral:rRNA from 1 species